CCUACGGGAGGCUGCAGUGAGGAAUAUUGGUCAAUGGGCGCGAGCCUGAACCAGCCAAGUAGCGUGAAGGAUGACGGCCCUACGGGUUGUAAACGUCUGUUAUAAAGGAAGAAAGUGAGGCACGUGUGCCUUUUUGUAUGUACUUUAUGAAUAAGGAUCGGCUAACUCCGUGCCAGCAGCCGCGGUAAUACGGAGGAGCCGAGCGUUAGCCGGAUUGAGUGGGUUUAACGGGAGCGUAGAUGUGUUGUUCAGUCAGUUGUGAAAGUUUGCGGCUCAACCGUAAAAUUGCAAUUGAUACUGGCAGUCUUGAUUACAGUUGAGGUAGGCGGAAUUCGUGUUGUAGCGGU
rnacentral:rRNA from 1 species